UACGAAGGGGGCUAGCGUUGCUCGGAAUCACUGGGCGUAAAGCGCACGUAGGCGGAUUGCUAAGUCAGGGGUGAAAUCCUGGAGCUCAACUCCAGAACUGCCUUUGAUACUGGCGAGCUUGAGUCCGGGAGAGGUGAGUGGAACUGCGAGUGUAGAGGUGAAAUUCGUAGAUAUUCGGAAGAACACCAGUGGCGAAGGCGGCUCACUGGCCCGGUACUAACGCUGAGGUGCGAAAGCGUGGGGAGCGAACAGG
rnacentral:rRNA from 1 species